rnacentral:rRNA from 1 species
GAUGAACGCUGGCGGCGUGCCUAAUACAUGCAAGUCGAGCGAACAGACGAGGAGCUUGCUCCUCUGACGUUAGCGGCGGACGGGUGAGUAACACGUGGAUAACCUACCUAUAAGACUGGGAUAACUUCGGGAAACCGGAGCUAAUACCGGAUAAUAUAUUGAACCGCAUGGUUCAAUAGUGAAAGACGGUUUUGCUGUCACUUAUAGAUGGAUCCGCGCCGCAUUAGCUAGUUGGUAAGGUAACGGCUUACCAAGGCAACGAUGCGUAGCCGACCUGAGAGGGUGAUAGGCCACACUGGAACGGAGACGCGGUCCAGACGCCUACGGGAGGCAGCAGUAGGGAAUCGUCCGCAAUGGGCGAAAGCCUGACGGAGCAACGCCGAGUGAGUGAUGAAGGUCUUCGGAUCGUAAAACUCUGUUAUUAGGGAAGAACAAAUGUGUAAGUAACUAUGCACGUCUUGACGGUACCUAAUCAGAAGGCCACGGCUAACUACGUG